rnacentral:rRNA from 1 species
GACGAACGCUGGCGGCGUGCCUAAUACAUGCAAGUUGAGCGCUGAAGGUUGGUACUUGUACCAACUGGAUGAGCAGCGAACGGGUGAGUAACGCGUGGGGAAUCUGCCUUUGAGCGGGGGACAACAUUUGGAAACGAAUGCUAAUACCGCAUAAAAACUUUAAACACAAGUUUUAAGUUUGAAAGAUGCAAUUGCAUCACUCAAAGAUGAUCCCGCGUUGUAUUAGCUAGUUGGUGAGGUAAAGGCUCACCAAGGCGAUGAUACAUAGCCGACCUGAGAGGGUGGUCGGCCACAUUGGGACUGAGACACGGCCCAAACGCCUACGGGAGGCAGCAGUAGGGAAUCGUCGGCAAUGGACGAAAGUCUGACCGAGCAACGCCGCGUGAGGGAAGAAGGUUUUCGGAUCGUAAAACUCUGUUGGUAGAGAAGAACGUUGGUGAGAGUGGAAAGCUCAUCAAGUGACGGUAACUACCCAGAAAGGGACGGCUAACUACGUG